AAUCUGGGGUCGCCGACCUCCGAGUUGUAAUUUGGAGAGGCAUCUUCGGGGUGGAGCGCCGGCCCCAUGUUCCUUGGAACAGGACGUCGCAGAGGGUGAGAAUCCCGUGCCAGGCCGGCCGCCUCCGCCCCAUCGAGGGGCCUUCGACGAGUCGAGUUGUUUGGGAAUGCAGCUCCAAGUGGGUGGUAAAUUUCAUCUAAAGCUAAAUACCGGCGGGAGACCGAUAGCGCACAAGUAGAGUGAUCGAAAGAUGAAAAGCACUUUGAAAAUAGAGUCAAAAAGUACGUGAAAUUGUUGAAAGGGAAGCGCUUGAGACCAGACCCAGACCCGGGCAAACACCGCGCCCCUCGGGGCCGUGCAAUUGCCCGUGGCUGGGCCAGCAUCAGUCGGCCCGGCGGGACAAAUGCGAGGGGAAUGUGUCUCCCCUCGGGGAGUGUUUAUUAGCCCCUCGCCCAAUGCCGCCCGAGCCGACUGUGGACCGCGCCUCGGCUAGGAUGCUGGCUUAAUGGCCUUCAGCGACCCGUCUUGAAACACGGACCAAGGAGUCUAACAUCUAUGCGAGUGUUUGGGCUUCAAACCCUUGCGCGGAAGAAAGUGAGCGGAGGUGGGAACCCCCCCGCGGGGCGCACCAUCGACCGAUCCUGAUGUCCUCGGAUGGAUUUGAGUA
rnacentral:rRNA from 1 species